rnacentral:tRNA from 1 species
AUUUGAGUAGCUUAUAAUAUUAAAGUUUAACAUUGAAAAUGUUAAUAAAGGAGUAUUCCUUUCAAAUA